GUAUGAAGGUAAAAAGCAGACGGCAAGGCAUCAGGGGAGGUCAUCAGGUGCACGUGUGAAGGUCCUUGAGGCCACGCCCACAAAAAGACGUGUUGCUUGUGUUGCCAUCUUUAUUGCUUCAUCUCAUUGUGUUAACGCUGCUCGCUCGGGGCUCAGCGCGGCACGGGAAGCUUUUCAUUUAUAUUUUUAGUAAUGGCAAUGGUAAGAUAACUACGACUAAAACAUGGUAGAAAAAGAUGUAAGACUAGAAUUUAACACACACACACACACACACACACACACACACACACACACACACACACACACACACAUGAUAGCGAAACAAGAAUUCAAUCGUUUCUGAACUUAUAAAAUAAAGUACAAAAGAUUGCAGACUACCUUAAAUUAACUGAAAUAAGUAAGUAAAGACACGCUGGAGCAAGAGUCGCCCAGUGUGCCUCAUGCAAACAAGAAUAUCAUAAAAAGAAUCAAAACUAACAUAUGAACUUUUUUUACUCUGGCAGCAUUCAUCUCUUGUCGUCAGGCUAAUGCUAAAUGUUGUGACAGUUUAGGUUAGUCAGGAAUUACACGACGAGCAAAUGUAAUAUCUUCACAGUCUGCAUUUCUGUUUUUUCUCUCCUUCCUUUCUCUACUUUCCCUUUUUCAUCAGUAUCUAUCCCUUUCAUUCGCAUUGUUUGCUUUCAUCGUACUUAAUACUUUUCUUCGUUGUAUAUUUUUGUAUGGAAUCGUUAUUUUUCUCCAUUUUUCCUUUGCUUCUCGUGUCUCCGUUUCUCCGUGGUGAGGAGUGGGUCUGCUUCGUAAUGGUGUACAGGUCUGUAGCGUAGUCUGUUUGUUGUUCUGUUACCGGCAUGGUGCGUAGGAGUCAAUAGGGUGGAGCGGGAGGGAGGGAGGGAGGGAGGGAGGGGGGGCAACCGUGAUGAACUCUGUGGUCAUAAGAGGGGUGAGGGGGGGGGGGACGUAGGGGGAUAUGGUGCGGGAGGGAGGGAGGUGCGGGGGUAUGGGAGUAAUUCACUUGAUGGGUGGCGUGGGGUCACAGGAUGGGUGUCAAGGAGGGUCACGGGGUAGGUGUCUGGGAGGGUCGCUGGGUGGGUGUCAGGGAGGGUCACAGGGUGGGUGUCAGGGAUGGUCACAGGGUGGGUGUCAGGGAGGGUCACAGGGUAGGUGUCAGGGAGGGUCACGGGGUGGGUGUCAGGGAGGGUCAUGGGGUGGGUGUCAGGGAGGGUCGCAGGGUGGGUGUCAGGGAGGGUCACGGGGUGGGUGUCAGGGAGGGUCACAGGGUGGGUGUCAGGGAGGGUCAGAGGGUGGGUGUCAGGGAGGGUCGCAGGGUGGGUGUCAGGGAGGGUCACAGGGUGGGUGUCAGGGAGGGUCUCAGGGUGGGAGUCAGGGAGGGUCGCAGGGUGGGUGUCAGGGAGGGUCGCAGGGUGGGUGUCAGGGAGGGUCGCAGGGUGGGUGUCAGGGAGGGUCGCAGGGUGGGUGUUGGGGAGGGUCGCAGGGUGGGCGUCAGGGUGGGUGUCAGGGAGGGUCGUAGGGUG